GAAAUUAGUUUGAGGAGGCCAUGUGAGUGAAUUUCUACAGCAUAAAAGAAAUCACUGAUCAUCUGACCAGGCCCAGAAGACUCCUGGCUUCCACACAUACCCAUGAAUCACCUGAUUAAGGCCCACUCUCAGGAUUAUUCCCCUAUCAAUGCACUGAAUCUACUUUCAACCAAGGUACCAAAAACUUCAUUGCUCAAUCUAAUAAACUCCUUUCAAUGAA